rnacentral:rRNA from 1 species
UACGUAGGUGGCAAGCGUUGUCCGGAAUUAUUGGGCGUAAAGCGCGCGCAGGCGGUUAUGUAAGUCUGAUGUUAAAGCCCGGGGCUCAACCUCGGUUCGCAUUGGAAACUGUGUAACUUGAUUGCAGAAGAGGAAAGUGGUAUUCCACGUGUAGCGGUGAAAUGCGUAGAUAUGUGGAGGAACACCAGUGGCGAAGGCGACUUUCUGGUCUGUAACUGACGCUGAGGCGCGACAGCGUGGGGAGCUAACAGG